GGAUCGAUGAAGACCGCAGCUAAAUGCGCGUCAGAAUGUGAACUGCAGGACACAUGAACACCGACACGUUGAACGCAUAUUGCGCAUCGCACGACCCACUGCGAUGUACACAUUUUUGAGUGCC
rnacentral:rRNA from 1 species